UUAGAGACCGGCGCACGGGUGCGUAACGCGUAUGCAAUCUACCUUUUACAGAGGGAUAGCCCAGAGAAAUUUGGAUUAAUACCUCAUAGCAUAGCAGCUUCGCAUGAAGCCACUAUUAAAGUCACAACGGUAAAAGAUGAGCAUGCGUCCCAUUAGCUAGUUGGUAAGGUAACGGCUUACCAAGGCUACGAUGGGUAGGGGUCCUGAGAGGGAGAUCCCCCACACUGGUACUGAGACACGGACCAGACUCCUACGGGAGGCAGCAGUGAGGAAUAUUGGACAAUGGGCGCAAGCCUGAUCCAGCCAUGCCGCGUGCAGGAUGACGGUCCUAUGGAUUGUAAACUGCUUUUGUACAGGAAGAAACACUGGUUCGUGAACCAGCUUGACGGUACUGUAAGAAUAAGGAUCGGCUAACUCCGUGCCAGCAGCCGCGGUAAUACGGAGGAUCCAAGCGUUAUCCGGAAUCAUUGGGUUUAAAGGGUCCGUAGGCGGUUUAGUAAGUCAGUGGUGAAAGCCCAUCGCUCAACGGUGGAACGGCCAUUGAUACUGCUAAACUUGAAUUAUUAGGAAGUAACUAGAAUAUGUAGUGUAGCGGUGAAAUGCUUAGAGAUUACAUGGAAUACCAAUUGCGAAGGCAGGUUACUACUAAUGGAUUGACGCUAAUGGACGAAAGCGUGGGUAGCGAACAGGAUUAGAUACCCUGGUAGUCCACGCCGUAGACGAUGGAUACUAGCUGUUGGAAGCAAUUUCAGUGGCUAAGCGAAAGUGAUAAGUAUCCCACCUGGGGAGUACGUUCGCAAGAAUGAAACUCA
rnacentral:rRNA from 1 species